rnacentral:rRNA from 1 species
GACGAACGCUGGCGGCGUGCCUAAUACAUGCAAGUUGAGCGCUGAAGGUUGGUACUUGUACCAACUGGAUGAGCAGCGAACGGGUGAGUAACGCGUGGGGAAUCUGCCUUUGAGCGGGGGACAACAUUUGGAAACGAAUGCUAAUACCGCAUAAAAACUUUAAACACAAGUUUUAAGUUUGAAAGAUGCAAUUGCAUCACUCAAAGAUGAUCCCGCGUUGUAUUAGCUAGUUGGUGAGGUAAAGGCUCACCAAGGCGAUGAUACAUAGCCGACCUGAGAGGGUGAUCGGCCACAUUGGGACUGAGACACGGCCCAAACUCCUACGGGAGGCAGCAGUAGGGAAUCUUAGGCAAUGGACGAAAGUAUGACCGAGCAACGCCGCGUGAGUGAAGAAGGUUUUCGGAUCGUAAAACUCUGUUGGUAGAGAAGAACGUUGGUGAGAGUGGAAAGCUCAUCAAGUGACGGUAACUACCCAGAAAGGGACGGCUAACUACGUG